ACUCAAAGGAAUAGACGGGGACCCGCACAAGCGGUGGAGCGUGUUGUUUAAUUCGAGGCUAAGCGAAGAACCUUACCAGGGUUUGACAUCCUAGGAAUUACUGCGAAAGCAGUGAGUGCCUUCGGGAACCUAGUGACAGGUGUUGCAUGGCCGUCGUCAGCUCGUGUCGUGAGAUGUUUGGUUAAGUCCAUUAACGAGCGCAACCCUUAUGAAUAGUUGGAUUUUUCUAUUCAGACUGCCCCGGUAACGGGGAGGAAGGAGGGGAUGAUGUCAGGUCAGUAUUACCCUUACAUCCUGGGCUACAAACGCGCUACAAUGGCCGGUACAAAGGGCUGCUAAGUCGCGAGACGGAGCAAAUCCCAUCAAAGCCGGUCCCAGUUCGGAUUGCAGGCUGAAACUCGCCUGCAUGAAGCCGGAAUCGCUAGUAAUCGCAGGUCAGCACACUGCGGUGAAUACGUUCCCGGGUCUUGUACACACCGCCCGU
rnacentral:rRNA from 1 species